GAUGAACGCUGGCGGCGUGCCUAAUACAUGCAAGUCGAGCGAACGGACGAGAAGCUUGCUUUUCUGAUGUUAGCGGCGGACGGGUGAGUAACACGUGGAUAACCUACCUAUAAGACUGGGAUAACUUCGGGAAACCGGAGCUAAUACCGGAUAAUAUUUUGAACCGCAUGGUUCAAAAGUGAAAGACGGUCUUGCUGUCACUUAUAGAUGGAUCCGCGCUGCAUUAGCUAGUUGAUAAGGUAACGGCUUACCAAGGCAACGAUGCAUAGCCGACCUGAGAGGGUGAUCGGCCACACUGGAACUGAGACACGGUCCAGACUCGUACGGGAGGCAGCAGUAGGGAAUCUUCCGCAAUGGGCGAAAGCCUGACGGAGCAACGCCGCGUGAGUGAUGAAGGUCUUCGGAUCGUAAAACUCUGUUAUUAGGGAAGAACAUAUGUGUAAGUAACUGUGCACAUCUUGACGGUACCUAAUCAGAAAGCCACGGCUAACUACGUG
rnacentral:rRNA from 1 species